AUAUAAAAAAUCGUCUCACAGUAAAUUAUAAUAGUUAGAGUAUCUAAAGUCGCGCUAAGGCCCCGAUAUUCUAUUUUUCCUGGUGUGAACGAUGACAUU
rnacentral:snoRNA from 1 species